CGAUGAAGGAAGAUGGCGUGAAUUGUCACAGCUGCCAACAAUGAAGACAUGGUAUGCGGAGUUCAGAACAGCACAGUGAAUGUGAUUAAAUGAGGAUCUGCAAAAGACAGAAGGCAUUUUUGCUUUUUUUUUUCAGACGAGAGUGCUGUCUCUGCUGGUUGAUUAAAAGGCUGGAGUUCUUCUGAG